rnacentral:misc_RNA from 1 species
AAUCCGAGAAUUUCACCUCUGGCAGUUGACUAGGAAUGCCCUCGACCGUGCUUAUCGGUAUAGAAAACACCCCCGAACAAACAAAGGGGCGUUCCCAUACUCUUGUUAUUCUAUGGUAAAUCGUUCAGGGCGGCAGCCUGCGUGGAACACGCCGAUUCACUCAAAGUAAGAUGCAUGAGACACCCACAUACGAAACGCAUGGGAUGCGCCCAGCACGCUCUCUGCUGAAAGUGGUUGAACGUCAUAGACGCCAAACCACCCGAGCAGAUGAAGGUCGACUACGAACUUUUUAACUGCAACAACUUUAAUAUACGCUAUUGGAGCUGGAAUUACCGCAC